AAAAAACUAGUUAAAGUUUAUAAUAAGGGUUUGUCGUUUCCUAGUUACUCGAUGUGAGUGUUUUUUG
rnacentral:tRNA from 1 species